rnacentral:rRNA from 1 species
UGGGGAAUAUUGCACAAUGGGCGCAAGCCUGAUGCAGCCAUGCCGCGUGUGUGAAGAAGGCCUUCGGGUUGUAAAGCACUUUCAGCGAGGAGGAAGGCGUUAAGGUUAAUAACCUUGGCGAUUGACGUUACUCGCAGAAGAAGCACCGGCUAACUCCGUGCCAGCAGCCGCGGUAAUACGGAGGGUGCAAGCGUUAAUCGGAAUUACUGGGCGUAAAGCGCACGCAGGCGGUUUGUUAAGUCAGAUGUGAAAUCCCCGAGCUUAACUUGGGAACUGCAUUUGAAACUGGCAAGCUAGAGUCUUGUAGAGGGGGGUAGAAUUCCAGGUGUAGCGGUGAAAUGCGUAGAGAUCUGGAGGAAUACCGGUGGCGAAGGCGGCCCCCCGUGGACAAAGACUGACGCUCAGGUGCGAAAGCGUGGGGCA